UACCUUGUUACGACUUCACCCCAGUCACGAACCCCGCCGUGGUAAGCGCCCUCCUUGCGGUUAGGCUACCUACUUCUGGCGGAACCCGCUCCCAUGGUGUGACGGGCGGUGUGUACAAGACCCGGGAACGUAUUCACCGUGGCAUGCUGAUCCGCGAUUACUAGCGAUUCCGACUUCAUGCAGUCGAGUUGCAGACUGCAAUCCGGACUACGACCGGUUUUCUGGGAUUGGCUCCCCCUCGCGGGUUGGCUGCCCUCUGUACCGGCCAUUGUAUGACGUGUGUAGCCCUACCCAUAAGGGCCAUGAGGACUUGACGUCAUCCCCACCUUCCUCCGGUUUGUCACCGGCAGUCCCAUUAGAGUGCCCUAUCCGUAGCAACUAAUGGCAAGGGUUGCGCUCGUUGCGGGACUUAACCCAACAUCUCACGACACGAGCUCACGACAGCCAUGCAGCACCUGUGUCCAGGCUCUCUUGCGAGCACCCCGAAAUCUCUUCCAGGUUCCUGGCAUGUCAAGGGUAGGUAAGCUUUUUCCCGUUCCAUACAAUUAAACCACAUCAUCCAGCCCUUCUCGCCGUCCCCCUCAAUUCCUUUGAGUUUCAACUUGCCCGCCCUACUCCCCAGCGCGUCCACUUCACCCAUUACUUCCGUUACUCACUCACCUAAUACCCAACAACCACUCCACAUCCUUUAC
rnacentral:rRNA from 1 species